AUUUAACAAAGCUGGCUAAUGGUGGUGAGAAGGAAGGGGGUUGAUUUUUGCAUCUCAGAACUGUUGAGCCUACAAAUAUUACUGAAAUCACAUCUGGGAACAAAGCUCUGCUUUAACGCAGUAUUUAUACCGAUGCGUACCCAGCACGCAGAGAACUGAGCUGCAUCCUGGAGCACUGGCACAAGCAGUAACGCACCAGAACUGUCAACAUCUGUCUCUGGAUUAAACAGCGAGGAAGGCGAGAACAAAUCUUUUCUAUCAUCAGCAGCAGGGUUUGCUGCAGGAAGAUGAUAAUUCGCUCCUGUUACUCUGCUGACAGCAACCAAGCUUCACAAGGAGGAGCAAGGCAUUUUAAUCAUGGAAUUGAAAACCACGGCAGUUUCUAAAGCUUCACCUCAACUUGGUUGAUUUACAUUAAUUUAGGAUCAACUGGCUUGCAGUGAAAUUAUGCAUUGAAGAUAAGGGAGGAAGAAAAAUUCAGUGUAAUUUCUAGUUUGCCUGUGCAUAAGAAGCACAUGUCUACAUAUAUAAGUACUUUUGGAGCAUCCUGGAUACGCAGGAACCACCAAAUUCCUCAAAAGCACACUGCAAAUUUGAAGGCUCCCUAAUUACACAGGAAGAGGUUUAUAAAUGCUCUACUUUAAGAUACAGAGGAUUAAGUGGAAAAGAUGAAAAAUGUUAACUGGCUAGUCAGGAUCCAAUCCAAUGCCUGCUGAAGUCAUCAGAAAACCUGUGACAGAAGCCUAGAGGUUUUGGCUGUGGCUCUGUCAUCAGAUUACCAUUAUAACAAAGGCAGCCCAUAACAGGCUUCUAAAAUAAAUGCAAAUUUCAUGUUGAAAACAGUCAGGCACCCCCAAAAUUAACAAUUUGAGCACACAGCAGCUUACAGGCAGCAGCUUUGGGCAUGUGGCACAACAUCUGUUACAAAAACACUAGAAAGCAGACCUGUGGCAAACUGGACCACUGCCAGCUCUCAAGAUCUACCCCCCGCCAAGGCUGUCAAAUAAAUGGACAGAUGGCAGCCAACGCACUCACAGGACAGUUAGCUCGGUUAACAAUCAAGUAUGCUAAGUGAUUUCAGAUCCACUCUGGACCAAGCGUUCUAUUUUCAAUUGAAUCAUUAACACUAUGUCCUAAUAGGAAUAUAGUUUGGUAUUAAGAAACUGGCAGAAACUGUAUUUUGCAAGACAGUUUCUCUGGAACAAUUUGUCAGGGAACAUCAGAUCUGCCUUCAUGAAUAAAGUCAGAAUCUGCCAAGUCUGCUGGGCUUUGUCCAUACAUUUAAUUUUACAGCAUUUGAAGAAUGGGGAUGGAAGAAAGCAUUAAAAUGCAGGUCAGUUAACAGCACAAGCUGCUCCCUCGGAUGCACUCAGCUGAAAGAGCAGAGUAGAUGUUAACAGCACAUAGGAUAUCAUAUCACCGUGGCUCUUCUGCCUGCCUGGUGUGGUACAUCACACUGAGUUCUUCUGGACAGGAGCCUACGGUCAGUCUAUGAACAUUACACAGAUCUUCUGUUAGCUUUCUCUUUCUAUUAUGACACUGGCUUUCUUCAGAGAUGUUUAUAGUGCAUCACCAUAGCUAUACUAUGAAAAUCAGCAGUAGCAGCCAAGAACUAAUAUGUCCCACUCUUCUGUUUCAGACAUGGAAAAGUGUUAAAAAUGUUUUGGGGGCAAGCCCAAGAACUCUGCCAGGGCACUGAACUCCUUAGCAGCAUGCUCUGUAGGGCUUUCCUCCCUGUUGGAAAGAUGACUGAAUGAUGCAACUACUGGUAUGUGAUCACCAGAGGAGGGAAGCCAGAGAUACAAUUUAACUAAACACAAAAAGUAGUGCAAACCUUUCAGAAACUGAGACAGGGAAACAACCACUUUUUCUGACUCAACUUAAUGUAAAUCUGAUUAGACCUUAGUGAAAUUUACUCUUUGCUUUCCAGGUCUUCUUGAAGAAAAAAAAAAAUCUUCUGAUGUCAUAGCAUCAAGAGAGUAGAGAUACCACACAACUGUGGGAAAACAGCUGGAAAGCAAUUGGUUUCCUUGGCCCUAAUCACCUGGUAAACCUGCAAAAAAAGCCAUUAAAAAACAAGGUCUGCUUCAAAGCUACUCAUUAGGCUGGACUAGCAAAGCUCAAGUUUGAGUCUUGUGUUUUAUUCACAGGGUCCACGCUUGCCUCUUAUCUGUCUCCUUCUAGUAUCUGCUCAUGAGAAAAAUCACAAAAGAGAUUUUUUUUUGGCUUUCCUCAAAAUCUUGUUACUGCCACAAAUAGAUAAUGCAUUGUAUUAUUACUCCAGAAAGAGGCAACUACAGAGUACUGCUUUCUGAAUGUGAUUAGGUACAAGCAGAACAACAGAAAGCUUCCACUGUAGAGAAGGGGAAGGGCUUUUUGUUGUGGGUUUUUUUUCCUCUGUCAGCUCAGCAGCAGUGAUGGUACCAAAUGAAGUCUUCCUGCUCAUUCAGCAUCUGUGGUCUAUUAUUUGCCAAGAGUUUGAUCUUGACCUUUUGGUUUGUGCCUACAGUACCCAGGAUUCCCCAGUGGUCUCACAGCCAAAUAUGUGUCUAGUUUAGGAUUGCUGAGCUUGCAAAAUCAUACCACCAUAGACUAUGUUUUGUUGCUACAGGGUAGAGUAGCAAAACCUAGAAUGCUUGUAUUUCUUAGAUUCUUCCUAUACUCUGCUUACAGUCCGAUAAUAUUUUGAUGCUUUGAGGAAAUAGAGCAAGCAAUUCUUAUCAAAACACAGCAAUCUGGGAAAUUAAAACUACAAGGAAAAACCACAAAACAGGUGGUAAAAUUGCAUUUAUCAUUUUUUCCUCUAGUUAUCUAAUAUUCCAGCCAUCCCAAACUACUUCAUUUUUACCUUAUAUAAUACUGAACAAAGUGAAACAUCCUGAAAACACCAUAAGAAAUACAAUUUUGAGGCCAAUCUUAAUUAUGGAUAGGCAGGUCUAAAAUAAUUGUAGAUGAUGUGCACGUAUUAAAGUUAAAAACUAAAAAAUUGUAUAUAUACCUUGGAGUUCAAUUUUUAUAUGCGCUCUUUUCCCCAUAUCCUUAUUGUUGCUUAUAGGAUCCUCCACUUUUUAAUUCCAUGACUCAUACAAUCAUGCAACAAAAGCACUAUGUUUAUGUUGCAUAAGGUUGUACAGCAGAAUGUCUGCAGCAUAAAGUACACUGAUUAAAAUAAUUUUAUAAUGCAAUUAAAGCUCAACAACACUGCAAUUACAAUACUUGUAAAAUGCAUCUAUGUGGAAAGCUAUAAAGUCGGAAUGAACACGACAGCUUGAUCCCUUGUUGUACAGAUAUACAAUAAUUCUUAAUCUGUUCUUGCCUGGGCAGGUAAGAAGUUGUGUCCUAUUCAAGAUUAAUUAAAAGGAACACUUGUUCUUUCUGAAUGAUGUCAUGUCUAGUAACAUACAUAAAUUAACUCAUGUCAGUAUUGGCCAAGUUGUGUCAUGACUUUUUUUUUUAGUUACAUCAUGUACUAAUUUUUUACUGAGAUUAUUAUAGAUUGUCUACACAUUUUACAAUCUCUGUAGAGAAAGAUUACUUUUUAUAAAGCACCAGUGAAUGUA